UACGUAGGGGGCAAGCGUUGUCCGGAAUUAUUGGGCGUAAAGAGCUCGUAGGCGGCUUGUCGCGUCGGCUGUGAAAACCUGAGGCUCAACCUCGGGCUUGCAGCCGAUACGGGCAAGCUAGAAUUCGGUAGGGGAGACUGGAAUUCCAGGUGUAGCGGUGAAAUGCGCAGAUAUCAGGAGGAACACCGGUGGCGAAGGCGGGUCUCUGGGCCGAUAUUGACGCUGAGGAGCGAAAGCGUGGGGAGCAAACAGG
rnacentral:rRNA from 1 species